rnacentral:rRNA from 1 species
GAUGAACGCUGGCGGCGUGCCUAAUACAUGCAAGUCGAGCGAACAGACGAGGAGCUUGCUCCUCUGACGUUAGCGGCGGACGGGUGAGUAACACGUGGAUAACCUACCUAUAAGACUGGGAUAACUUCGGGAAACCGGAGCUAAUACCGGAUAACAUGUUGAACCGCAUGGUUCAACAGUGAAAGACGGUUUUGCUGUCACUUAUAGAUGGAUCCGCGUCGCAUUAGCUAGUUGGUAAGGUAACGGCUUACCAAGGCAACGAUGCAUAGCCGACCUGAGAGGGUGAUCGGCCACACUGGAACUGAGACACGGUCCAGACUCCUACGGGAGGCAGCAGUAGGGAAUCUUCCGCAAUGGGCGAAAGCCUGACGGAGCAACGCCGCGUGAGUGAAGAAGGUCUUCGGAUCGUAAAACUCUGUUAUUAGGGAAGAACAAAUGUGUAAGUAACUAUGCACGUCUUGACGGUACCUAAUCAGAAAGCCACGGCUAACUACGUG